rnacentral:tRNA from 1 species
GGAGAUGUGACUCGGUGGUACAGCACUUGCCUGGCACACAUGAGACCCUGGGUUGGAGCCCCAGCACCUCCA